CGGCAACAGCUCAGAUUUGAAAUCUGGCCUUUGGGCCCGAGUUGUAAUCUGCAGAGGGCGCUUUGGCAUUGGCAGCGGUCCAAGUUCCUUGGAACAGGACGUCACAGAGGGUGAGAAUCCCGUACGUGGUCGCUAGCCUUUACCGUGUAAAGCCCCUUCGAC
rnacentral:rRNA from 1 species